rnacentral:rRNA from 1 species
GACUCUCGCAACGGAUAUCUCGGCUCUCGCAUCGAUGAAGAACGUAGCGAAAUGCGAUACUUGGUGUGAAUUGCAGAAUCCGUGAACCAUCGAGUCUUUGAACGCAAGUUGCGCCGAGCUCUGGUCGAGGCACGUCCUGUGUCCGCAUGU